rnacentral:lncRNA from 1 species
GUGGCCGUGGUGGGGGUAUUUUUACUACCUUUUAUUUGAUUUUAUUAUUGAUAGAUUUGAUAAAUCUUUGAGAAGCUAAACUGUUGAAAAUGAAAAACUGAAAAUUUAUUCCUUCUUUUCCAUUUUGUUCUUUUUACAAAACAUCUAAUUGAAUUGACAAAACAUUGUAAAGAUAUCAUGAAUUCAUCUGUUUAUCAAAAGACAAACCAAGUCCUAUGAUCUUACGCCUCAAUACGGGGAAAAACAUCCAACAACAACAACAACAACAAAGCCUUUUCCCACUAAGUGGGGUCGGCUAUAUGAAUCCUAGAACGCCAUUGCACUCGGUUUUGUGUCAUGUCCUCCGUUAGAUCCAAGUACUCAAGUCUUUUCUUAGGGUCUCUUCCAAAGUUUUCCUAGGUCUUCCUCUACCCCUUCGACCCUGAACCUCUGUCCCGUAGUCACAUUUUCGAAUCGGAGCGUCAGUAGGCCUUCUUUGCACAUGUCCAAACCACCGGAACCGAUUUUCUCUCAUAUUUCCUUCAAUUUUGGCUACUCCUACUUUACCUCGGAUAUCCUCAUUCCCAAUCUUAUCAUUUCUCGUGUGCCCAUACAUCCCACGAAGCAUCCUCAUCUCCGCUACACCCAUUUUGUGUACGUGUUGAUGCUUCACCGCCCAACAUUCUGUGCCAUACAACAUCGCUGGCCUUAUUGCCGUCCUAUAAAAUUUUCCCUUGAGCUUCAGUGGCCUACGACGGUCACACAACAAGCCGGAUGCACUCUUACACUUCAUCCAUCCAGCUUGUAUUCUUCUGUUGAGAUCUCCAUCUAAUUCUCCGUUCUCUUGCAAGAUAGAUCCUAGGUAGCGAAAACGGUCACUUUUUGUGAUCUUCGCUAGAUUGCUCCGGUCAUUAGUGUGGAUAAGUAUAUAAAUGGAUAGAGAUAGGAAAGCAAACACAAGAUGUACGUGGUUCACCCAGAUUGGCUACGUCCACGGAAUAGAGGAGUUCUCAUUAAUUGUGAAGGGUUUACAAAAGUACAUAGGUUCAAGCUCUCCUUUAGUGAGUACAAGUGAAUGAUUUAGUACAAAUGACAUUAGGAAAUAUUGUGGGAGAAUGAUCUCGUAACCAUGAAACUUAAGUACCGGAGUGUGGUAUCGUCUUGACUUGCCUUAUCUGUCUCAUAGGUAGAUGUGGCAUCUUCUCAAGAAGUACUCUUCCUCCAUCCAGGGGUGGUAUCUGUAACUGGUGGAGAUGCACAAGGUAAUGUAUCAAUUUCACUUGAAGCUUACUUGUAGUUUCAGGCUUGGUCAAACGUGAUACAAACCAUGUAGUAGGAGUCCCCCAAGUCGCCGAGCUAAGGUAUCUGCUGAAAGAGGUGACAGACAAGGUAAGCAAUCAGAGCUCCGGCUGAUUGUUCACAUUCUCCCUAUCUUGCAGGCAGCAUGAAGGAUAAAGAGAAGAAAAAUGAGAAGAGAUGAUAUGGGAUACUUUUGCUUUUGAAGAAGUAACUUUCCACAGGCUUAUUCUUGAACUGGGCUGGAGGGUUUUUUGGUUUCCUCCAGAGGAUAAGGCCGACUGAAGAAUUUGAGGGUCAAAACAAGUCCAUCAAAUCUAGAGUACGUUCGACCCUGCUAAUAUGGGAUACUUUUGCUUUUGACAUAGUAGUGGAUGUAUCGGCACGUGUGCUGUUACGCUUGUCUCCACAUGCUUCCUUGUAUCCUUCUCACUUGCCCUAGCUGUUCCUCAGGCAGAUGUGGUAUCUUCCCUGGAAGCAUAAGAUGUUGAAGAUGAGUACUCGAGAGCAAUGCCAGGUAAGUAAUUCCAGGCAGUCAGUUCUUGGCUGGAAGCUUGAUUCCAAGUGCUGACUGAUUGCUCUCUUUCUCCUUGUCUUGCAGGUAAGAACAAGGCCAAAGGAAAAGACAGGGAAAAAGCAUGAUAUGGGAUAUUCUUGCUUUUAACCCUGAUGAUAUGAGAUAUUCUUGCUCUAGUAUAGCUUGUUUACAGAGGUAUUAUCGGGGGGAAAGAAAGCUGAAAAUUUCGAAAGGCUUCGUUGGGAGUGCCCUCUCAGAUAAGAGGAAGGGUUGAGCAUUUUUUGCAGGUCUGCCUGUCCGUUGGGGAUGGAGGUCGACAUAUAUAGGAGUCUCCCUAACAUCAAGUAAUAAUGCUAUUCCUUUACCCUGCUUGGUCAUAGCACGGUAGUGGGAGCUGUCAGCUUCACAUGUUUUAACUCUGUCAGAGCACUUUGAAAAAGUGGUCUGUGGUAUCUGGAAAGCUGAUGUUGCGUGUGAAGAUUACAGACAAGCUUUAUCCAAGGAGAUCCAGCUCUUGAAGUUGGGAAAGUGGUGCCUCUUUGGUUUUCGAAACAAGCAAUCCUGUCGGGGAUCUGGCUCUCGAGAUUCGGAGAACGAUGCCUCUUCGAUUUUUGAGAAAGCAAUCAUGCUGGGGGUCUGGCUCUCGAGAUUCGGAGAGCGGUGUCUCUUCGAUUUUUGAGAAAGUAAUCAUGUUGAGAGUCUGGCUCUCGAGAUUCGGAGGGCGGUGCCUCUUCGAUUUUUGGAGCAAGCAAUCUUGUUAGGAGUGUUUUCUCGAAUGUGAGUAAAGGUUGGGCAUGUUUGCUAGUCUACCUUGUCACGAAGCACAGAGGUUGACACACAGGGACUUUCCAAUUAUCCAGCAGUGGUACUGUUCCUUUACCCUCUCUUUGAUUUUUGAGAAAGUAAUCAUGUUGGGAGUCUGGCUCUCGAGAUUCGGAGGGCGGUGCCUCUUCGAUUUUGGAGCAAGCAAUCUUGUUGGGAGUGUUUUCUCGAAUGUGAGUAAAGGUUGGGCAUGUUUGCUAGUCUACCUUGCCACGGAGCACAGAGGUUGACACACAGGAACUUUCCAAUUAUCCAGCAGUGGUACUGUUCCUUUACCCUCUCUUCGAUUUUUGAGAAAGUAAUCAUGUUGAGAGUCUGGCUCUCGAGAUUCGGAGGGCGGUGCCUCUUCGAUUUUGGAGCAAGCAAUCUUGUUGGGAGUGUUUUCUCGAAUGUGAGUAAAGGUUGGGCAUGUUUGCUAAUCUACCUUGCCACGAAGCACAGAGGUUGAGACACCGGGACUUUCCAAUUAUCCAGCAGUGGUACUGUUCCUUUACCCAUGUGGGUAAUAAUAUGGUAGCUAGACCUUCAAAAUUUAUGUGUCUAAACUUUGGUAGUGUUGUUUCUUUGCUAUUCUUUUACCCUUCUUGGUCAGAGCGAUGUAGCGGGAGCUGCAAGCUUCACGUGUCUCAACUUUGUCAGAGAACUUUGGCAAAGUUAUCUGUGGUACCCAUGAGCUACUGUUGCGUGUGGGAAGUGGGUGAUUGAACAGUACGAUUCAUGUGCUUUCUACUUCGCCAGAAAUCUUCGACAGAAUGCCCAUAAUUUCCGCAAAGCUGAGUGUGCGUGUGACAGGUGUUGACGAGGCUGGAAAAGUAGGUGCCUCUUCGAUUUCUGAGAUCGGCCCUCGUGGUCUCUGAGCAGCCCAGCUUUUGAGAAAGCAAGCCUCUUCGAUUUCUAAGAUCGGCCUUUGUGGUCUUUGAGCAGCCCAGCUUUUGAGAAAGCUAACGCCUCUUCGAUUUCUGAGAUCGACCCUCGUGGUCUCUGAGCAGCCCAGCUUUUGAGAAAGCAAACGCCUCUUCGAUUUCUGAGCAGGCGCCUCUUCGAUUUCUGAAGCUUCGUCGAGUGCAGAUUUUUAUAGGGGCUGACAUUAAGUUCCAAAGCACACUUGAAUAUCCACCAGUAGAAGCUUCAUUCUUGCACUUCUAAGAUCUUGAUUUGUCCGCCGACCUCUUCUCUCUUCAACACCUUUGAAAAUGUCUGGCCCCUCCGACCGUCGUUUUGACUUGAACCUUGUUGAAGAGGUAGCCCCGCCUUCUCCAGACAACAUAUGGCGCCCAUCCUUCGUCUCCCCUACUGGUCCUCUUACCGUUGGGGAUUCCGUGAUGAAGAAUGAUAUGACCGCUGCGGUAGUGGCCAGGAACCUUCUCACUCCCAAAGAUAACAGACUACUUUCCAAACGGUCUGAUGAGUUUGCUGUUAAGGAUUCUCUGGCUCUCAGUGUUCAGUGUGCAGGUUCUGUGUCUAAUAUGGCCCAACGCCUAUUUGCUCGAACCCGCCAAGUUGAAUCAUUGGCGGCUGAAGUGAUGAGUCUCAAACAGGAGAUUAGAGGGCUCAAGCAUGAGAAUAAACAGUUGCACCGGCUCGCACAUGACUAUGCUACAAACAUGAAGAGGAAGCUUGACCAGAUGAAGGAAUCUGAUGGUCAGGUUUUACUUGAUCAUCAGAGAUUUGUGGGUUUGUUCCAAAGGCAUUUAUUGCCUUCGUCUUCUGGGGCUGAACCGCGUAAUGAAGCUCCAAAUGAUCAACCUCUGAUGCCUCCUCCUUCUAGGGUUCUAUCCAGUACUGAGGCUCCAAAUGAUCCCCCUCCGGUGCCUUCUCUUUCUGGGGCUUUACCGACUGCUGAGACUUCUUCUAAGCAACCUUUGUGAAGGCUCCCUCUUGUUUGUUUAUUUUGACUCAAGUAUAUGUACAUAUUUGUAACUGAUCGGGGAUAUCAAUAAAUCAGCUUUCCUUCAUUUCAACGUAUUGUGUUAAAUACACCAAGCCUUCUUCGUUAAGUUCUUUGAAUUUUCUUUUGUUGAAGCUUUGUGAGUGGAGCAUGUAGGUUGAGGUAGUGUUCCCUUAAUUUUCCGAGUGAGGAAAACUUCUCGGUUGGAGACUUGUAAAAUCCAAGUCACUGAGUGGGAUCGGCUAUAUGAAUCUUAGAACGCCAUUGUGUUCUGUCAUGUGUCAUGUCCUCCGUUAGAUCCAAAUACUCUAAGUCUUUUCUUAGGGUCUCUUCCAAAGUUUUCCUAGGUCUUCCUCUACCCCUUCGGCCCUGAACCUCUGUCCCAUAGUCGCAUCUUCUAAUCGGAGCGUCAGUAGGCCUUCUUUGCACAUGUCCAAACCACCGUAACCGAUUUUCUCUCAUCUUUCCUUCAAUUUCGGCUACUCCUACUUUACCUCGGAUAUCCUCAUUCCUAAUCUUAUCCUUUCUCGUGUGCCCACACAUCCAACGAAGCAUUCUCAUCUCCGCUACACCCAUUUUGUGUACGUGUUGAUGCUUCACCGCCCAACAUUCUGUGCCAUACAGCAUCGCCGGCCUUAUUGCCGUCCUAUAAAAUUUUUCCUUGAGCUUCAGUGGCAUACGGCUGUCACACAACACGCCGGAUGCACUCUUCCACUUCAUCCAUCCAGCUUGUAUUCUAUGGUUGAGAUCUCCAUCUAAUUCUCCGUUCUUUUGCAAGAUAGAUCCUAGGUAACGAAAACGGUCGCUCUUUGGUAUUUCUUGAUCUCCGAUCCUCACCCCUAACUCGUUUUGGCCUCCAUUUGCACUGAACUUGCACUCCAUAUAUUCUGUCUUUGAUCAGCUUAGGCGAAGACCUUUAGAUUCCAACACUUCUCUCCAAAGGUUAAGCUUUGCAUUUACCCCUUCCUGAGUUUCAUCUAUCAACACUAUAUCGUCUGCGAAAAGCAUACACCAAGGAAUAUCAUCUUGAAUAUGUCCUGUUAACUCAUCAAUUACCAACGCAAAAAGGUAAGGACUUAAGGAUGAGCCUUGAUGUAAUCCUACAGUUAUGGGAAAGCUUUCGGUUUGUCCUUCAUGAGUUCUUACGGCAGUCUUUGCUCCUUCAUACAUAUCCUGUAUAGCUUGGAUAUAUGCUACUCGUACUCCUUUCUUCUCUAAAACCCUCCAAAGAAUGUCUCUUGGGACCCUAUCAUACGCUUUUUCCAAAUCUAUAAAGACCAUGUGUAAAUCCUUUUUCCCAUCUCUAUAUCUUUCCAUCAAUCUUCGUAAGAGAUAGAUUGCCUCCAUGGUUGAGCGCCCUGGCAUGAACCCGAAUUGGUUGUCCGAAAACCCGUGUCUUUUUGCCUCAAUCUAUGCUCAAUGACUCUCUCCCAGAGCUUCAUUGUAUGACUCAUUAGCUUAAUACCCCUAUAGUUCAUGCAAUUUUGUACAUCGCCCUUAUUCUUGUAGAUAGGCACCAAAGUGCUCGUUCGCCACUCAUUUGGCAUCUUCUUCGUUUUCAAAAAUCCUAUUGAAAAGGUCAGUGAGCCAUGUUAUACCUGUCUCUCCCAAAAACUUUCCACACUUCGAUUGGUAUAUCGUCUGGGCCUACUUCCUUUCUAUGCUUCAUCUUCUUCAAAGCUACAACCACUUCUUCCUUCCGGAUUCUACGAUAAAAAGAGUAGUUUCUACACUCUUCUGAGUUACUCAACUCCCCUAAAGAAGCACUCCUUUCAUGUCCUUCAUUGAAAAGAUUAUGAAAAUAACCUUUCCAUCUGUCUUUAACCGCGUUCUCUGUAGCAAGAACCUUUCCAUCCUCAUCCUUGAUGCACCUCACUUGGUUUAGGUCCCUUGUCUUCUUUUCCCUUGCUCUAGCUAGUUUUAUAGAUAUCCAACUCUCCUUCUUUGGUAUCUAGUCGCUUAUACAUAUCGUCAUAAGCCGCUAACUUAGCUUCUCUCACAGCUUUCUUCGCCUCUUGCUUCGCUUUUCUAUACCUUUCACCAUUUUCAUCGGUCCUAUCCUUGUAUAAGGCUUUACAACAUUCCUUCUUAGCCUUCACCUUUGUUUGUACCUCCUCAUUCCACCACCAAGAUUCCUUUUGGUGUGGGGCAAAGCCCUUGGACUCUCCUAAUACCUCUUUUUGCUACUUUUCGGAUACAACUAGCCAUGGAAUCCCACAUUUGGUUAGCUUCCCCCUCUCUAUCCCACACACACUGGGUGAUUACUUUCUCUUUGAAAAUGGCUUGUUUUUCUUCUUUUAGAUUCCACCAUCUAGUCCUUGGGCACUUCCAAGUCUUGUUCUUUUUUCUCACUCUUUUGAUAUGUACAUCCAUCACCAACAAGCGAUGUUGAUUAGCCACGCUCUCUCCUGGUAUAACUUUGCAAUCCUUACAGGUUAUACGAUCCCCUUUCCUCAUUAGAAGAAAAUCUAUUUGUGUUUUUGACGACCCACUCUUGUAGGUGAUCACAUGUUCUUUCUCUCUUCUUAAAGAAGGUGUUUGGCUAAGAAGAGAUCAUAUGCCAUUGCAAAAUCCAAGAUAGCUUCCCCAUCCUCGUUUCUCUCCCCAAAAACCAUGGCCACCAUGAAAACCUCCAUAGUUGCCUGUCUCUCCCUGCCCACGUGUCCAUUUAAAUCUCCUCCUAUAAAUAACUUCUCCGUAUGAGCAAUUCCUUGCACCAAGUCUCCAAGGUCUUCCCAAAAUUUCUCCUUCGAACUCGUAUCCAACCUACUUGAGGUGCGUACGCACUAAUCACAUUGAUAAGUUCUUGUCCUAUUACAAUCUUGAUUGCCAUGAUUCUAUCUCCUACCCUCUUGACAUCUACAACAUCUUGUGUCAAGGUCUUGUCCACGAUGAUGCCAACACCGUUUCGCGUUCUAUUUGUGCCCGAAUACCAUAGUUUAAACCCUGAGUUUUCUAGAUCCUUUGCCUUACGACCAACCCACUUAGUUUCUUGUAGGCACAUAAUAUUUAUCCUUCUCCUCACCAUAACUUCUACUACUUCCAUAGAUUUUCCCGUCAAGGUUCCUAUAUUCCACGUUCCUAAACGCAUUUUGCUCUCUUGAACUCUACCCUUCUGUCCUAGCUUCUUCACCCUUCCCCGUCUAAUAGGAUCAAAGUACUUCUUUUGUGUGUCCCGUGUAAAGUUGAUAGGAGCAUAUGCUCCCAAACAACUUUGAGUGGAGUCGUUCGAAAAGAAGUUUCUAUAGCCCCCUUGCUCAUUUAACACUGCAUCCGGGUGCCGAUGGAGAUACAGCGACCCUUGCUCACUUAUCACUGUGCUCGGGCCACACAGCGCGCCACUUACGGGUGACGCCCUAGCUUUAGCGCAAUUUCGUUCUGGAUUCAUUUUCAUAAGGAUUCGACGUAAUCAUGGAGUGCCGGCUGUCGACUACCUGACGCCCUCCCCCUCCUCCUUUAUCCGGGCUUGGGACCGGCAAUGUAAGAUAAACUUACACGGCGGAGUUCAAUACGGGGAAAAACAUCCAUGCCACAAUUUUGUUCAAUUUAAGAAUGACAUACAGUGAAAAUAUUUAUUUAUGAACAAUUUAGAUGUCAUCAACGAAAUUGACAUGGACACACAUAUACAUAAAUAUGCAUACGCUACAUGUAAACACAGAUAUAUACAAAGAAAAGCAAUCUAAAAUCAGUAUGAGGUUAUUCACUAUGAAAAUGGAUACAAAUAUACAAGCUACUAUACC